GCUCGGGAGACGCCCGGCUGCAACGGUCCCCAAGCGUGGGGAACCGGGCAGGGAGGGGCCGGCAGGGCUCCUACACGCACCUUCUGGGCGCGCGGCUGCAGCGGCUCGCACGCCCUGGAGGCGCGCAGGGUCGCCGAGUCCAAGUACUCCGCGCGCGCGUUCGGGGAAUGGAAAAAGAGGCGCUGGCACCUAAGCCGGUGUAAUAGGACCCGGGUCUUGUAAACCCUCCUCCCCAGGCACCGCCUCUCCGCUCCCAGCCCCUCUUUCCAGCCUUAAUUAUCCUUUCAGCGCCGUUUCCCCUCGGCUGCGUUUCCCUGGCCGGAGGGGAAGUGCUCUCUCGCCUCCCCGUCCGGCCCGCGCACAGACCCUCCUUUCAGACCCGCCCUCCAGUUCACGGGGACCCGUUUCGGAGCCCUCGCUCACGCUGGGCGGGAACCAGCGUGACCAAUUCCGCCCAAGGUGUUGAUUAUCCAUCCCAACCCUGCCUCUGGCUCGCCUCCCACUUCGCCCCAGCUCCCGCGCGCCCCCGUCCCCCCUCCCCAGGCCGGGCGCUGGGGACGGCAACCCCCAAGCCCCCCACCCGCGCGGCCCCGCGCUGCAGCUGCGAAGAGAAGCGCCAGCGUGCUCGGUGCCACGUCGGAGUUGGCUCCCGGGACGUUGCAGCUGCCUGCGCUGCAGCGCGCGGUCCCCACGCACGCCCUGCCCCCGGGCGGCGGCGAGCAGAGGUUCGCGCGCCCUCCUCCCGCUCGGGUCGGCGGCUGCCACCGCUUGUGUCCGGGACCCCUGGCCCAAGUAAGGCUUCCGGAGCCGGGCUGAGCCCGGGCAGACCGAGCCUGACACUGCCUUGGGGUCCAGGGAGUGCAAAGGACGGGAAGCCCGGGAAAGUGGGAGUGGCCGAGCGAGGCCGGUAGCUGCGAGGAGGUGGCGAAGGACCCUCCUUCUCGGAGGGUCUCGGCUCCCAGGAGCUGGGAGCCCAAAUCACUUUAACCCUUUGCAUUCCAAGUAAGAAGCGGGUUUCCCACUUACAAGUAAAAGGCACUGAGCUGGCUGUUCCAGGGUUUUCCUCCCGACGUAGGGGGGGGGGGGAAGAACGGAAGGGAAGGGAUGGGAAGGGAAGGGGCAAAGGGGGGUGGCUGUGCGGAAUGCAUUUUCCUUGCACAGUGGAAAUUCUGGUUUCCUAGCCCGGGAGCCCCUCUGCGGCUCCGGAAGAUGAGGAGUGGAAAAGUACAUCUCGGGACGUGCAGUCUUUCCCAGGCAGAGAGGUUACCUGUGUUCCCAGAAAGGCAGCGGAUUUCUGCCGAGCGCCGCAGGGAUGGGGAAAGCCAGGGUUAUAUUGCCAAGCCUGACAGUGAUCUGAAAUAUCCCCUGAUUUUCAGUCUGUUGGAAAUUAUCAGACCUCAAACUUCUCUGUCGAAAACUAGCUUUACAAUUUUUUAACACUUAUGUGGGUAAUUUCUUCCCUCUCCCUGGCCUAUUCGGGGGCCCUCCUGGUUCACCAUAUCGCGCCAGUGUAACGUACCUUGUUCAGCUCUUGGUCAUAAAGUUGUCCUCAGACUGUCUGUGUGGUCCCGGAGGGUCGGUGGCGGGCAGUUUCCAAAAUUGAGGUAAUAAGAGAUCAGAUGAAUUUGAGACGACCGGCCAAAAAAAAUAAAAAAUUUAAAAACAACAUUUAAAAAGGAUGGGGGGGUAGUCUGAAAUGUUUGGUUCACCCCCACUUUAAAAGGAAAUUUCACCACUAUUCUUUUUAAUAUUUCCGUUGCACUUCAGUCUAAUUCUUAAAAGAAAAAUUUGUGCUUUAAAAAUAAAUUAACUUUAUUUUUAUUUUAUUAUUAUCAUUAUUAUUAUUAUUAUUAUUUUGCUCCAGUUCCCCCUCCCCUGAUAACGGAAAGUCUCUUUUCUUUUUCGUAUCAAGAAAAGCCCGGUGAAGUCUCAGCAGAACCCAGGAAGCGCAGAAUCGGGAGAAAGUCUUUGGCUGGGGCUGGUUCAAGUCCCUGGUUCAAUGGGCUGCUGGAAGCCAGGACUGGGUAAUUCUUUCCAGACGUCUUGACUUCUCCUUCCUCGCUGUUGUUGCCUUUCUGCCUCCUCCAACUUAAGGGGGUCUUAACAAGGGAGCUGGUGGGUGUUUUAAUAGGGCGGAGGAGGGAGUGGGGGUUGAGGGGAGUGGAGAAGGGAGGUGCGGACUGGGGAACCCGGGGGGAGGGAACUGGGAGCGCGGGCGGGCGGGCGGGAGGCGGGGAGGGGGAGAGGAAGAAAGAGAAAUUGGCCAUUCAAAGCCCUCUCUGAGCUAGAGGCCGGUUCUAAACUCCAAUGAAUUCAAUUAACUUGAUUGCUAACGUGUGCAGAGAAAUGCACUGCGCACAGGCUGGCCACCACCUGAUUCCCUCCUUCCUCCAGCGACAGAGCUGGGAGGCCGCGCUUUGCAGAAAUCCCUCAGCUCCGGUCUGAGUUACAAGGAUUCCCUCUUCGCGAAAAACUCCCCAAACGGUUUAACUAAUUUGCUGUGAGGCCAAAUGGUGCCCUUAGGCUACUAAGUAACAGCCCAGGGGAGAGAUAGCUGGGAGGUGUGUGUGUGUGUGUGUGUGUGUGUGUGUGUGUGUGCGCGCGCGCGCACACCUGGAACCUCCGAACGCCGGCAGCGACUCCAAAUAAAAUCGGCCACAGGUCUACCGCGUGUUAACCCUUUCUUCCCGGUAGCUCAAAAGUUUCUGAGCAGGCGUCAAGUGUCAAAGUCCUCCCUACACAGAAGUUUCGGUCUUGGGUGGCGGGAAAAGUGGAAACAUAGUUAUAUUUUUUUCCUUCACUUGGCCUCCUCACGUAAAAACACGCAAGCAGCGAGCAUUAUAAAUAAAAAUAAAAAUCGUGCUCCGUAGAACUCGAAAGUAGCGCGCUUAGAAAAAGCCAUUUCCAAGGGAAUGGCUUAAAUGGCUUCUGCUUCUUUCGAGAAGAUAGCGAGUCAAAAUACUUAUAUUUGAGACGCUCUUUUCUCCAUCUUUUCCCCAACGCCCUAAAGCUGGAAAGAGUCUUCCCGGUUACUCUUUUCCCCUUUCUUUAUUUCUCUUUGGUCCUCGCCAAAGCGUCUCCUGACUUAAAAUGGACACUAGGUGGCACUGUUUAGGAAAAAAUGAGAGUGGGUUUACAAAUUCACUAAUUUGGCCAUUGAAGGUUCCGCUGUAAUUAUUGCAGGGUAAAAAGAGAUUUCUUUCCUUUCCUUUGCUUCCCCCCCUCCCCCGCCCCGCCUUCCAAGGAUCCUCUGAAGUGUGAACUGCUUUGGAACUCAGAUAGGUCUUGAAAAGUGGGGUCUUGCUCCUUAUCACGUAUUUUGGACAAUAAGGAACAAGUCAAAACAGAAAAGUCGAGUAAACUAGGAACGAUGCUUUUCAACAAGUUCGCGCUGGGUGUGGUGUUAGGGGAUGUGCUUAGAGGUCAAGAAUUUUAUUGCAAUACCAGGCCAGGUAGUCAGCCAACCCAGUCCCCAGGGGCCGACCUGCAAAGUACCGCGCGUUUCCGCCCCACCCGCACCACCACCACCCCCACCCCCCCUCCCGCAGCGGUUACACCUCUGGGAAGCAUUGCCCUGGCCUGAUGACUUCACGCUGGUCUGGGGAAACCCACUCACUAAUUUUCCCCAACAAAUCUUCAAGGCUUCAGCCUUUGUGUGAACACUGCCUGAGGUGAUUCAACUCUUGAGGAACUGGCUUAAAUUUGAGAGCCGGAUUCAUCCCACUUAGACUGGUUCUUGAAUUUUAGUUGUAUGAUAGUUUUUAAAGGCUAAGUUGUAAUUGAAAAUAUAUUAUCUGGGGGGCGCCUGGGUGGCUCAGUCAGUUAAGCGUCUGGCUUCGGCUCAGGCCAUGAUCUGGCGGUUCGUGGGUUCAAGCCCCUCCUGGGGCUCUGCUGACAGCUCGGAGCCUGGAGCCUGCUUCGGAUUCUGUGUCUCCUUCUCUCUGCCCCUCCUCCACUCAUGCUCUGUCUCUGUCUCUCAAAAAUAAAGCGCUAAAAAAAUUUAUUAAAAAAAACAUAUUAUCUGACUUAUGUACUCUUACAUAUAAUGCGGAUUAAGCCGAUUUAGGGGUACCGUGAAAAUUGUGGGUGUCAAGUGUCUAGCUGUGGGACCCCACAGGAACACUCAAUCUUAGCUCUAAAUUUCUGUGCUUAUUAUUUGUAAUGCAGAAUUGCAGAUUUUUGCUCAGUAGCACUUAGCUGCCCCUUUGCUAAUAGUUCCAGCAAUAAGAACCUUUAGUAAAACUGGGUUUCUUUAUUAAACAAAAGCACAUUUGUUGUUUGUCCCCUUUUACUUGCAAUUCAUGGCCCAUAAAGAAAAAGUAAAAUGUUACCUGACUGUGAAUAAAUAUAAAACCUCAUUACAUAUCCAUGCAUUUCUAUCAGUUCCCCCUACCUCAAGAGAAUAGGGAAAAGGCUAGUACAAUUUCAAGCCAGAAGUGAAAGUUCCUCAAGGGUAGAAUAUUAUAUAUAUAUUUAAAUAUAUCAGAUUUUUUUUUUCUUUUUUAAUGUUUAUUUUUGAGAGAGAGAGCGCGCGCUUGAGUGGGGGAGGGACAGAGAGAGAAGGAGACACAGAAUUCAAAGCAGGCUCCAGGCUCUGAACUGUCAACACAGAGCCGGAUGUGGGGCUCAAACCCAGGAACCAUGAGAUCGUGACCUGAGCCGAAGUUGGAUGCUUAACCAACUGAGCCACCCAGGUGCCCCAAGAGAGACCUGAAACCCAAACCCUAUCUUUGAUUUGGGACUGUGUGAUGUGGAAUCUGUGUGAUCCUGGAAGCGUAUUCACCUCACUAGACCUUUAUUUCCUAGUUGAGAAAUGAAGAAAAUACCUGCUUUACACUGUUGUUAUGAUGAUAUAAUUUGUCAAAUUAUAUUAGGAGAUAAGGGUAGGGCUAAAAUCUACUCUUAGGUAAUGUAAGCUAGGGGUUCCAAAUGUAACCUAGUGGUUUCUAAUUGAACCGUCGUGGGUAUUCAAAAAACGGUACCCUUCUCCUCCUGGCUUUCUAGUCUGUAUAUUAUUCUUGAUGAGCAUUGACUGAGGUUUUAUCCUAUGUUCAUUUAUUUGACCUACUUCUGCUUCCUGCUGUCAUCUCACUGAAUCUCAUGGAUUGAAUAUUUCUCUGUGCCCAUGGAUACACCCAAACCUUCACAUUUAACCAAAAUUCCCUUCUGAGUCGUAGGCCUGAAUUAUGGCCACCAGCCAUGUAGUACUGAUCCACAAGCAGCAAAUUAGGGGACAUGAGAUUCAGUUACACAAUCUACAGCACCAACCACCUGAAUAACAUUCGAUAAUUAAUUUAAAAUAUAACUUAUAUUUUAUUUUUUUAUUUUUUAAAAUUUUUUUUUUCAACGUUUAUUUAUUUUUGGGACAGAGAGAGACAGAGCAUGAAUGGGGGAGGGGCAGAGAGAGAGGGAGACACAGAAUCGGAAACAGGCUCCAGGCUCCGAGCCAUCAGCCCGGAGCCUGACGCGGGGCUCGAACUCGCGGGGCUCGAACUCGCGGACCGCGAGAUCGUGACCUGGCUGAAGUCGGACGCUUAACCGACUGCGCCACCCAGGCGCCCCUAUAACUUCUAUUUUAAACAUGAGCUAUUUGGAUCAGCAGAUGACAGGUGUUUCAGGUUUUGACCUCCUAACUCCUACCUUAUACAACUUCUACUCAUUAUGUUGUCAACUACACAAGACAACGUAGCAAAGAAAUUCAGAGGUAGGAGUUUUACUUUAGUUAAUGUGAGUUAGUAUCUUGUUGCUGAUCUCCCUCCUCCCACAUCACAAAAGAAGUGCUCACUAUGUCUGAGAGGCAGUUUCCAGAAAAAGGAUUUAGUACCUUCACAAUUCCAUGCAUAAGGGGCUCUCAACUUUUUGAUGUAAAGGACCUCUCUAUACAUUCUUAAAAAUUAUUGCAGACUUCACAGAGCUUUGCUUAUAGGGUUUAUAUUUAUCAAUAUUUACCAGAUUAGAUAUAAAAGCUGACUGAAAGUUUUAAAAUAUUUACUAGUUCAUUUAAAAUAAUAAUAAA
rnacentral:lncRNA from 1 species